UAGGUAAUCUUCGGCAAUGGACGGAAGUCUGACCGAGCAACGCCGCGUGAGUUAAGAAGGUUUUCGGAUCGUAAAGCUCUCUUUUUAGAGAAGAACGUUGGUAUGAGUGGAAAAUCUACCAAGUGACGGUAACUAACCAGAAAGGGACGGCUAACUACGUGCCAGCAGCCGCUGUAAUACGUAGGUCCCGAGCGUUGUCCGGAUUUAUUGGGCGUAAAGCGAGCGCAGGCGGUUCUUUAAGUCUGAAGUUAAAGGCAGUGGCUUAACCAUUGUACGCUUUGGAAACUGGAGGACUUGAGUGCAGAAGGGGAGAGUGGAAUUCCAUGUGUAGCGGUGAAAUGCGUAGAUAUAUGGAGGAACACCGGUGGCGAAAGCGGCUCUCUGGUCUGUAACUAACGAUGAGGCUCGAAAGCGUGGGGAGCAAACAGG
rnacentral:rRNA from 1 species